rnacentral:tRNA from 1 species
AUUAGAGUAGUUAAAAAAUAACAAAGCUUUGAAGAGGCUUAAUUAAAGUAUUAAAUCUUUUUCUAAUAU